CACUCCAAAGUGCAGCCAGAUGAGAGCAUUGAAUAAAAGGCUGGGUCGUCGCUCUCUGCAGUUCCCGGGGGUACAGGAGGGUCCGCGCGCACGUGCGACCGGGGUGGGAAGGCGCGCGCAUGCGUGAACACCUCGGCAAGCCGCUCGUUGGCCCCGUCCCUGCCUCGUCCUUUCCUCCCAUCGCCCCAACCGCCUCCCCGCUGCAGGAGGACCCCACAGUCCGGUCACCUGGGUGUUCUCUCCCUCCCGAAAGGCCUGUGCCACCCGCUGCCGCAGAGGUGGAGACUGAGGUACAGAGAGGAUGAGGACUUGCCAAGGUCACUAGCCGGCCACUCUUUCCUUCUCUAAAUGUGGAUUUUGGAAAGUUGAUGGUAAUUAGCCACGAGAAUACAGAAAUUAUUUAACUCUGCAUUGUCUAAAGUUCAGAUAAAAGGACCACCUACUUCCCAGGCCUGCUACCUGCCUUGUAGAUGCAUGGAAAUAUUGUAUUAGCCACCAUUUCCCACCCACGGAUCCCCAAAGGAUUGCAGGAAAUCGGUGAACUGUUCUUGCUGUAUACUCUAGUCAGCCAUAAAUUGGAACUUUUGUGCACUGUGAUGAUCAGAAUAAACAAACAGAAAGGGUAAUAAGGCGCACCAAAUAAUCACUGGUGACCUCAGCAAUUUUAUUAACAAAUUUAUUUCCCUAAUUGGGUAACGUAUCUUAGUGCUCGACUCAAGGGCAUUGUAAUAGGUUUCCACACUGCAGAAGAAGGAAUUAAUUAGAACUGUUUGCUCUUUGUUCCGUAUUUACACUUGUCCACCAGUCUUGUAAACAUUGCGCCUGGUUUCUUUGGCCCUCCAGGCUUCUCUCUUCUGACUCCCCCACCCCACCCCCAAAUAAAUAAAUAGAAAGCGGGGAGUGUAAUGUAACAUCAGUGGCUCAUUCUUUUGUGCAAUCCACCCCCACCUGGAAGCUGCAUUUCAUGGUUAGAGCCAUUUUGGGGCCAGAUUCUGGCAGAGUCAUCACUUCCAAUAGGUACCCGGAAGUCUAGAAAGAGACCCUUAUCUCCACGGGAAACAGUGGAGAACCUGGGGUCUUGAUUUGCCUGGGCUGUAUCUGGAUUGACCUUGUCCAUUCAGACCCUGGGCAGGAAGGUGGUGAGAUGGGCAGAUCUGUCCCACUUCUUCCUGCCCCACAGAGAAUGCCUCUUAAGAAGGUAAGAGACAGUCAUUCAUUAUAAUGUUGUAUCUGCCCUUGGAGUGGGCAGCCCAUGCGAGCAGACAAGCCAUACACUCAUGAACUCCCUCUUCGAGUCUUCUUCAAGUAGAGUUUUUUGCCUCACAGCUUGCCAAGACUUCGGCAUGACAACAAAAAGCAUUUUUAAAUGCGAAUUCUCCAGAAUCUCACUGUAAUGCUGGCUUCUCACUCAAGCUGCAGCCUUCCAGUAUACUCUAAAAUGGUGCCAUUUCACACUGCGUGUCCAGCCUCUGACGACCAGCAUUAGCAUAAGAUGCCAGAGUACAUGGAAUUAUCUCCAGAGCUGGUUUCUUUAGCAGCCAUUAAUAUGCCACGUAUGGCUUUCAAACAUGGAUAUAAUGAUUACAAAGACCUCUAACAGUGUCUAGAGUACCCCGGCUGCCAAUAGGUCCCUUUUGAUAUCUGUGCUCCAGAAAAAUCUGGAUAGGCACAACAAGCCUCAUUCUCCCUCUUGAAUAUCCUGCAGGAUCUGGAUGAGGUUUUCCAGGCCAAAAAUAUAGCCUGGAUCUGGUCCAUCAUAAGUGGUAUGCUCAUUCCAGGAGCCUUUGUAUGUUGUGUGAGCAAAGUCGAUCAUCCGGAUGUCAACUUUGGAGAGGCUUCCAGAAGAGCUGCCGUGGUCCGGCUGCGGAGCCUCCGGAGGAUGCAGGCCCUCUGAGGUCCUUUCUGGCAGCGCCUGCCCAUCGUAGAUGAUGAGGAGAGAGCUGGAGUAGAACCGGUACGAGCUCUGGUUCCGAAUGACCGAGAGGAGGGCCCGAAGCUGGCGCUGGAUGGGUUCCAGGAGCUCUGUCCGGAGGCGGGUUCCAUCAUGCAGGAACUGAUGGAGGGCUUGUCUGAACCCCUCAACAGAGAGUUUUCUUCCAUAAUACUUGUCUUUGCAGAGAAAGUGCUUCUUAUCAAUUUGAUAAACCUUCCAAUAAAAAGAGAAAGAAAAUGUGAAGAAUUGCCAACUUAAAAAAAAUAUUGUCCCUGCUAUGGUUGCAGUGUUACAAGCUAACGUGAUAUAUAAACAGAUUUCCGGGAGAUGCAGGGCAAGAGUGGCUGAAAUGAAUGGAAGGAUGAUCUUUCAUCAAGCACCAGUGGAACUUUCACAUUUUAAAAUGCUUUCUGUGCAGGCCUUUAAUAGGAAUCCAAGGUGUAAAGAUCCUUCACCCCACAGAGGUGACCCUCCACCCAUGAGGAAAAGCUUUGGAUUGCCUUUCUUGUGAAUUUCCAAUGUCAUCCUCCAAAUCAUGAUUUAAACCCUGGCUUCUGGCCCUCUUCAAUUCAAAUAUUAGCAAACCCAAGCUAGUAAGCUUUAGCAGGAAUCUGAAAUCACAGCCAAUGGCCUUGGAAAGCCAACUAGAUUCAAUUUUCCCCAAUGAAGUUUAUAAAGUCCUUUCUCUGCAGAUUCUAAGGAAACAGUCAGAGCUCUUGGGGUAGGGCAGGGUGACUGAAGAGAAAAAGAUAAAAAGAUGGGCUCGAUCAGGUAUGGAUCAGCCAGUGCAGCUGAGGGGAGCCUGGACUGGGUGGGUGGGGGGCAGUUCACAGCAGCUCUGUGGGGCUGGUGGGUCCUCCUUGGCACCAGCUCCUCUCCCCUCCCCUGUCAUGUCUUGGCCACAGGAAGGGAGCAGAUGGAGGAGAUGCUGAUGGGGGGACAGUGGCAACCACUCCCAUUUCAUUCAGAUGGCAGAGGCUGUACCGAGGCCAGUGGCUGGCAUGGCCAUGACUUGGCACACCUUUCCCUGGCUCACCUGGGAAGGGCAGCCCAUACCUGGCCAAGACAGUUUCUCAGGUCUUUCCUGCCUUCAGAUUAUGUGAUAUGUUUCUACCAGUGUGGAAAAAAAUCAGAAAGAUAUGAUAGACUUGCUUUGGAGGGCUGGAGAUCGGCUGCUAAAUUAGCCGUCAUAAAUACACGACGGGUGUCACUGUCUAAAUAAAUCAGAUCAAUUUCAGAAGAUUUGAGGUCCAGAGAGAGAUUCCAUUUACACCCCAAAUCAUCACACUGCAUUCUCCUGAGGACUGCGUUCCAAGCCUCCCAAGGGACAUCUGUGCAACAAAUUUAUAGACUCAACUUCCAGCUUCAAGGGGUGGCAGUUUCAAUUAAGGAAAGCUUGAACGUGUACCGUCAAAUCGGUGUCUGGUUUUGCUUUGAGGAGAUAGACUGUAAGAGUGAACGCGUGGGGAAAGUUUAUUUCUUCCCGUUCUGCAGCCCCUCUGCCACAAGCCACAUCAGAGCUGCAAAAAACAGGGUAGAGUCUGGGCAAUAAAAAAAUUAACCGUUCCUUUGCCUCCGCUGAACAGGUUACCACCUUCCCACUUCACUAACCAGAACAGGCAGCGAAAAGCAGAAAAGGUGGAGGAGGAAGAAGGAAUGGCUAAUAAGAAUUCAAAGAGCAGAGUGCCUCAACAGCCCCUGAGAAGGAGAGGUUCGACUUUAUCAUUCAAGUAAUUGAGGAAGCGGAGUGUGCCGAGUGAGCGAGUGAGCGGAGAGGCUCCUUUUCAGCUCUUUCCUCAGCCCCUGCUCACACGCUGCGGUCAAAGGUCUGCUCUCACUAUGGGCAGGACCCACGUGGCUGCCGGGAAGUUCAGCUGCCAGAGACCCUGAGACCGAGUUUAAAAAAUGGUGGAUUUUUGACACCACUAUCCUGAAAGGGUCUCUUAAAAAAAAAAUCCCGGUGUGUCACAGACCGGGAUAUGCAUUUCCGGGGCGGAAGGGCUGUGCCCGACUGCCUCCUGGGUUGCUUCCCAAGCGAAGGGCUCCGUGGGCAGUGGUGGCAGUUGGGAGACACCCUUGCCCCACAGUGGACGUGCCAGGACGCCCCGCCGUCCAGCGGGCCCUCUGCCACCUACCUGCAUGCCGCAGAUGCGGACGCCCAGGCAGGCUGACGUGCUCUGAGCACACUUCCUCAUGUGACGGGCCUUCUUCUCCUCGGACACAUCGUCCCCGUGCUGCCGGGUCCCCAUCUUCAGGUCAAGGAUACAGGGGUACUUGUACUGUGACACGACGUUUUCCAGCAACAGAAACCCUGGUCACGCCAAGUUCAGGAAGGCUCCGAGGACGUGAAGGCCCCCACCCUGAGUGCCAGUCCUUCUCUCCCUUCUCUCCUUACAGACAAGUCCGGCGUCCCUCUUAAGAAUUCAAGGCAGGAGGGUCUCUGUGCAUGAUCUGGGGAGGAGGACUGACCUAGAAACCGGCACCAGGCCCCAGAGCCACCACUCCACAGUGGAGAAAGGAGAGCACCGGCCUUGGUGCUUGUCCUUGGGGAGCUUGGAGUCUCCUGGCUGCCUGGGGGAGCCCUGGAUGGUGUGCCAGCCAAGGGCAGGGCCCUUUGGGGACUUGUAAAGUUCAGCUCACCGUCUGGCCUCUCCCAUCUGUGGGACUAUGGUGCCAAGCCUGCAAGAAACCGCUGUCUCGGGGAGCCUCAACCCCGGGAGGCUUCCCUGGAAGGACAAGAAAUGUGACCUUCAUCCGCUUCCGUAGGCUCCAGCUCUUGUCUGGUCUCAUCAGAUCUGAGUGUCUAAAUAAAUGGAGGCGAGCAGAGGUGCAGAGAACCCAAAACCAAUAAAAUCCAAAAGGCA